AAUCUUGCGCAAUGGGCGAAAGCCUGACGCAGCCAUGCCGCGUGAAUGAUGAAGGUCUUAGGAUGGUAAAAUUCUUUCACCGGGGACGAUAAUGACGCUGCCCGGUGAAGAACCCCUGGCUAACUGUGAGCCAGCAGCCGCGGUAAUACGAAGGGGGCUAGCGUUGCUCGGAAUUACUGGGCGUCAAGGGCGCGUAGGCGGAUCGUUAAGUCAGCGGUGAUAUCCCAGGGCUCAUCACUGGAACUGCCUUUGUUACUGGCGAUCUUGAGUAUGAGAGAGGUAUGUAGAACUCCGAGUGUAGAGGUGAAAUUCGUAGAUGUUCGGAAGAACAACAGUGGCGAAGGCGACAUACUGGCUCAUUACUGACGCUGAGGCGCGAAAGCGUGGGGAGCAAACA
rnacentral:rRNA from 1 species